UCAGGAAGGAGGCCAUUGAGGUGGUCCCUCCUCAAGACAUGGAAUCCGAGGGGGAGCUGGGUUUGAGACUGAACGCCAAGAAGAGUGUACUUUCUCCAGUUCAGAGAACCACCUAUCUAGGCGUAGUAUGGGAUUCGACCACGAUGCAGGCACGAUUGUCCCCUGCUCGUAUCGAGUCGAUCCUCAUCUCAGUCGAGAGAGUCAAAGAAGGCCAGUCACUCACUGUCAAACAAUUUCAGAAAUUGUUGGGUCUGAUGGCAGCUGCGUCCAACGUGAUACCUUUUGGCCUGCUGUACAUGAGACCCCUACAGUGGUGGCUCAAGACCAAGGGAUUUUCCCCGAGGGGCAAUCCACUUCGAACUAUCAAGGUCACGCGGCGCUGCCUCCGUGCCUUAGACAUGUGGAAGAAACCUUGGUUCUUGAAUCAGGGCCCAGUGCUGGGAGCUCCUGGUCGCCGUGUAACACUAGCGACGGAUGCUUCCCUCACUGGUUGGGGUGCGGUCAUGAGUGGCCACCCUGCCCGUGGUCUGUGGAGCGGUCGCCAUCUGACAUGGCAUAUCAAUUGUCUAGAAAUGCUAGCAGUUUAUCGUGCACUGAAGCACUUCCUCCCAGACCUAAGGGAUCACCUUGUGUUGGUGCGCACCGACAACACAUCGGUGGUCUCUUACAUCAACCACCAGGGAGGUCUGCGUUCGCGCCCCUUGUACAAGCUGGCGCACCAGAUCCUUGUGUGGUCUCAGGACAAACUCCUCUCACUCAGAGCAGUGUAUAUUCCUGGGAUAAUUGAAUGUGGGAGCAGACAUACUGUCGAGGCAGGGGCCGAGGCCCGGGGAAUGGAGGCUUCACCCCGAGGUGGUGGAGCAGAUAUGGUGAAUCUUUGGCAAAGCUCAAGUGGACCUCUUUGCGACUCGAGAGACAUUGCAAUGUCCCCUUUGGUUCUCUCUAGUUCAUCCAGCUCCCCUGGGACUGGACGCUAUGGUACAGACCUGGCCGAGGCUUCGUCUGUACGCCUUUCCCCCUAUUGCUCUGCUCCCGGGAGUUCUGGCGAGAGUACGCCGGGACAGGGUUCGGCUGUUAUUAGUAGCCCUGUUUUGGCCGGGCCGAGUAUGGUUCUCAGAUCUGGUCUUGCUCCUCGACUGCUCUCCAUGGGAGAUACCAAUCAGGACAGAUCUACUCUCACAGGCGCAGGGCAUGAUAAUUCACCCUUGCCCAGAGUUGUGGAAACUGUGGAUGUGGCCCCUGCGUCUCGAUGCCAUACUCCCGGCACACCUGCCGGCACUUGCUGGUACUCGAAGCUGACGCCAGCCGCGCGGCACAUGCUUUUAUAGCUUCCUGGUCGCUUACGUCACCCUGCCCAUGACGUCACACUCUUCCAUUGGACAGAUUACACACGAUAUUCAGAGUCACUCAUGCUAAACGCAUUCCCCAUAGCGUUUCGAUGCAGCGUCUCGUUCCCUCGAGGAACCAUGGUUACAUGCGUAACCUUAAGACGUUUUCACUGAGGAGCCGAGCUGGUGACCCAGCCGCUCAGCGGUGGUACAUGAUGUCUC
ensembl:lncRNA